rnacentral:rRNA from 1 species
GACGAACGCUGGCGGCGUGCUUAACACAUGCAAGUCGAACGGAAAGGCCCUGCUUGCAGGGUACUCGAGUGGCGAACGGGUGAGUAACACGUGGGUGAUCUGCCCUGCACUUCGGGAUAAGCCUGGGAAACUGGGUCUAAUACCGGAUAGGAGCCAUUUUUAGAGUGAUGGUUGGAAAGUUUUUUCGGUGUAGGAUGAGCUCGCGGCCUAUCAGCUUGUUGGUGGGGUAAUGGCCUACCAAGGCGGCGACGGGUAGCCGGCCUGAGAGGGUGGACGGCCACAUUGGGACUGAGAUACGGCCCAGACUCCUACGGGAGGCAGCAGUGGGGAAUAUUGCACAAUGGGCGCAAGCCUGAUGCAGCGACGCCGCGUGGGGGAUGACGGCCUUCGGGUUGUAAACUCCUUUCGCUAGGGACGAAGCUUUUUGUGACGGUACCUAGAUAAGAAGCACCGGCUAACUACGUG